rnacentral:rRNA from 1 species
GUCUAUGGCCAUGCCACCCUGAACAAGCCCAAUCUCAUCUGAUCUCAGAAACUUAGCAGGGUCAAGUCUGGUUACUACUUGGAUGGGAGACCACCUAGGAAGACCAGGUGCUGUAAAAG